rnacentral:rRNA from 1 species
UACGUAGGGGGCAAGCGUUGUCCGGAUUUAUUGGGCGUAAAGAGCGUGUAGGCGGCCAGGUAGGUCUGCUGUGAAAACUCGAGGCUUAACCUCGAGAUGUCGGCGGAAGCCAUCUGGCUAGAGUCCGGAAGAGGAGAAUGGAAUUCCCGGUGUAGCGGUGAAAUGCGCAGAUAUCGGGAAGAACACCCGUGGCGAAGGCGGUUCUCUGGGACGGUACUGACGCUGAGACGCGAAAGCGUGGGGAGCGAACAGG